CAGAACACAGACUGCAGGAGACACACAGACUAACAGAGCUUCUUUUAGACCUACAGUUGCUAACAGUCAUGAGUUCAGCUCUGUAUCUGAUCCUGCUUUUCUCAGCUCUGUGGACUCUCUCCUUCUGUUGGGACUCGUCAGUUUCAUGUGGUGAAAGAAACUAAGAACUGGACCGACGCUCAGAAAUACUGCAGAGAGAAAUUCGCUGACCUGGUCACCAUUGAGAGCCCAGAGGA